AAAGGAAGAGGACUUCCAGGACUACUUCAGAAAGUAACAAGGAUGGUGGCAUGAGUGUAUUGGAAACAAACCCGGAGAAUUUUGUGGGGUUUUAUGGGUAGCUGUUCGAUUUUUGUACUGUGGCACAGUCUCCAGUUUUGGAAGAGUGUCAAUUUUGGACAGAUGACAUCCUCAGUGGUGCUAAACACAAUGCAACUGUUGCAAAUUUAGUAAAGAAGACAGAAAAAUCACAGGAGCCAAACAGACAAAAUAACCAACACCCACAAGUUGGAGGAAG